GUUCAGAUAAAAAUAUUUAAACAAUGAAAAUGUAUGGAAAGAAGCAAAUUCAUCUGAAAUCGACAUUAAUUAUGUAUCAAGAUUCUCACGAUAUGUCAGACUGAUUCAAGGAUAGACGAUGGAAAGCUGGCAGCUAAAUUGGGAUCUCUUAGAAGCAGUUAAAGGCGGGGAUUUACAAAAGGUCAAAUACUAUCUUUCCGAUGGC